GAUCUUCUACAAGAAUGGCAUCAAUCAGGGGGUGGCUUUUGAAAACCUGUUUGAAGGGAUGUACUUUCCCGCCAUCUCCCUCUACAAAAAUUGCACAGUAUCUGUUAACUUUGGGCCUCAUUUCAAAUACGCUCCCAAGGACAUUAAAUACCAACCUAUGAGUGACAUGGGUUGGGGAGCUGUAAUUGAGCACACUCUGGCAGAUAUCCUGUACCAUGUGGAGACCGACGUGGAUGGCCGUCGCAGCCCCCCUUGGGAAGGCUGACCCCCCCAAUCCCUCCAGUGUGUCACUUCCUCCCUGCUGGACACUCAUUCCUGCAGUAGACUUCACUUCAUGCCAAGCACUGACCCAUAAGCCCAAUGUGAACUCCAUCCAUCUUAAGGAAGGAUCGAACUGGACCGGACCAGGUAGCACGGUUACCUAAUCCUUGUUUUACAAGAUACUUGCGAUUUUGCGUCAACAAGAAGACCCUGGAUCUUCAUUUUCCUAAGUGUGUUCUGCUGAUUUCCAUCAAAGACCUCUGUCAUAGUGCUCGUUAAAAUCAGGGGUCUGCAAGCAUGGCCGCUGAAUGGGACAAAAUAAAAUUUCAUUGGAAAGUGCUCAAGAACUUUCUAGAUUUCCUGCUUUCAUGAUGGAACCACUAUGGUCAGAAUAUCAGCAGGAGUCAGUCCUUCUCAGAAAACGUUUAAAAGCAUUUCAGAGUGUUUAUGGUACAACCAGACCUGUGGUGUCGGUCAGAUGUGAGCAGGUUAACUCUUCGUGCAUUGUGUAUCCACAUCCGAAAGGUUUCAUUUGGGGAAAGUCUGGAAGGCAGAAUAUACACAUACUGUAGGAGACAGCCUUCCUAAAUGCUAAGCUAAACAGCCUGGAAUUCUGGGUAGCUUUACUGUUUGCUGACCCUCGUCAGAAUCACCAAACUCCUCUAGCAUAGGAAGCAUGGAGUUGGUCUCCAAAUAUCUCUGGUUGUGCCUCUAAUCUCAAUCAAACCAUCGUAAGUACGAAGUCCCCCCUAUUCACUUAGGCUGCCAGUCUGAUUUCCUUGGUUUCACUUCUUCCUUCCUUCGGCUUGGUGUGUUUUAUUGUGGUUCCCUGCCAUGCUAGUCCCCUAAAUAACAUUUACCAGGGUUGGUGUUUUGUUUUAUAAUGAAACUGGUUUUAAAUAAAAUAUUUAAAAGUGCA